UCCUAGUUAACCUAGGCAGUCUCACUAGAGUCCCCACCUUGACGUGUUGGCAACUAAUGAUAAGGGUUGCGCUCGUUGCGGGACUUAACCCAACACCUCACGGCACGAGCUGACGACAGCCAUGCAGCACCUAUGCAGCGGUCCUUUCGGACGUUACCAUCUCUGGUAACUUCCCCUGCACUUCUAACCUGGGUAAGGUUCUUCGCGUUGCAUCGAAUUAAACCACAUGCUCCACUGCUUGUGCGGGCCCCCGUCAAUUCUUUUGAGUUUCACCCUUGCGAGCGUACUCCUCAGGCGGUAUACUUAUCGCGUUAGCUACGACACAGCCAGGGUUGAGCCCAGCUACAUCAAGUAUACAUCGUUUACGGCAAGGACUAC
rnacentral:misc_RNA from 1 species